AAGUCGUAACAAGGUUUCCGUAGGUGAACCUGCGGAAGGAUCAUUCAUAAUAAAAGUGUUUUAUGGCGCUUUUCAAACAAAUCCAUAUCCACCUUGUGUGCAAUGUUAUUUUUUUUUUAAAUAAACACUUUAAUUUUUUAAUUGCCAAUUUAUCUGAAGAUCAGUAUUAUUACGAAUUAACUUAAUUCAAAAUAUAACUUUCAACAACGGAUCUCUUGGCUCUC
rnacentral:misc_RNA from 1 species